GUCGAGAAUAAUUCACAAUGGACGAAAGUCUGAUGGUGCAACGCCGCGUGGAGGAUGAAGGUCUUCGGAUUGUAAACUCCUGUCAUCGGGAAGAAAGACCUGGAGGUGAAUAGCCUACAGGGUUGAUAGUACCCGAAGAGGAAGGGACGGCUAACUUCGUGCCAGCAGCCGCGGUAAUACGAAGGUCCCAAGCGUUGUUCGGAAUCACUGGGCGUAAAGGGAGCGUAGGCGGCGUGGUAAGUCAGAGGUGAAAUCCCGGGGCUCAACCCCGGAACUGCAUCCGAUACUGCCGUGCUUGAGGGUUGGAGAGGUAGCUGGAAUUCUCGGUGUAGCAGUGAAAUGCGUGGAUAUCGAGAGGAACACUCGUGGCGAAGGCGAGCUACUGGACAACAUCUGACGCUGAGGCUCGAAGGCUAGGGGAGCAAAAGGGAUUAGAUACCCUGGUAGUCC
rnacentral:rRNA from 1 species